rnacentral:rRNA from 1 species
GUAGGGAAUAUUGCACAAUGGAGAAAACUCUGAUGCAGCGACGCCGCGUGAGUGAUGAAGGCCUUCGGGUCGUAAAGCUCUGUCGCAGGGGAAUAACACAAUGAAGGUACCCUGUAAGAAAGGAUCGGCUAACUUCGUGCCAGCAGCCGCGGUAAGACGAGGGAUCCUAGCGUUGUUCGGAAUCAUUGGGCGUAAAGCGGAUGUAGGUGGCUAUGUAAGUCAGAUGUGAAAGCCUGGGGCUCAACCCCAGAAGUGCAUUUGAUACUGCGUAGCUUGAGUGUCGGAGAGGUUACUAGAAUUGUUGGUGUAGUGGUGAAAUACGUAGAUAUCAACAGGAAUACCGGAGGCGAAGGCGGGUAACUGGCCGAACACUGACACUGAGAUCCGAAAGCGUGGGGAUCAAACAGGAUUAGAUACCCGUGUAGUCC